UCUCCGUAGGUGAACCUGCGGAAGGAUCAUUAUUGUAUAACCGAGGUGCGAGGGCUGUCGCUGACCCGAAAGGUCGUGCACGCCCGAGUGCCCUCACUCACAUCCAUCUCACCCCUAUGUGCACCACCGCGUGGGUCCCCCUUUGGCUUGUUCGGAGGGGGGCUUACGUUUUCACACAAACUUUGUAUGCAGUGUAGAAUGUAUUUUUUGUUUUUGCGAUCACGCAAUCAAUACAACUUUCAACAACGGAUCUCUUGGCUCUC
rnacentral:misc_RNA from 1 species